UUUAGUGUUUUUAUUUAUGAUUAUGGCGAAGUUUUUCAGUAUUUUUAAUGUGAAAAAUUAAAUUGUUAUGAACAAUUGUGAAAAAAAUCACAAUGAUGAUUUAAAUAAGUCAAUAAUGACUUUAGUGAUUUAGGAAACUUGUUAACUGGACCAGCUCGUCCAAUUUUGAAAAAGUGUUCAGUAGGUGAUGCGAACAAGUUUGUAGUUGCUCAACUGCUGAUAGUCUGGAACGGAUUUUUUAUUGCUUAGAUCAUUGACACUGUGCAUUUACACAACUUACUCGAUAUUAGUGUUACAGUUAGUCAUGAACAUGAUUUACAAGAGUAUGCGCAUGCGUUAGAUUGCUGAUAACAUUAUAAGAUGUGAUACGGAUUAAUUUUUGUGCGUUCAAAAUUUCUUAACGUCUUGAUUUUAUAUAGUAAUUAUUUACUAAUUUUGACGUAACAAUUUCUAUUUCUAUUUAUUACAUAAUAUACAAAUGGUACAUGAUGCCAAAUGUAUGCAUCAUUUGUUUAAAAUAUCCAAAGUCGCACUCUAGACUUUCAUUGCACAAAUCUUAAAAAACGAAAAAAAUGGCUUGAUAUCUGUGGCCUUGUGAAGAAUGUAUGUAGAACUAACCGGAGAUUAUGUUCAGAGCAUUUUGAAGACAGCUAUUUUUCUGAUGAUUUAAGAAGGGUACUAUAUUAAAAUGCUGUACCUACAAAAAACUUAGGAGAGGAAAAGUUAAAAAGAAAAUCAAUAAAAAAAAUUUCUCAUGUAUCUUAAGAAGAAAAAACCCACUGGUUUAGGUCCAAUAUGUUCUAAACCACUUGAAGCUACUGUUGAAAUAUCAAGUAGUACUGUUUUUAUAAAUCAAGAUUAUUUCAAAGAAAAUAUAACUGACUUGUCAAGUACUUCUUAAGAAAUACAAAAAAGAAAACUUUUGACUCAACCAAUUAUUAAUGGAACUCAAAAAAAAAAAAUAAACAAGGAAAUUAUAUGUUACUGAUAUUACAACACCAGAUUUUUCAAAUAAAGGCUAUGAAA